rnacentral:lncRNA from 1 species
UCAUUUUCAAAAAAUUCAAUGUAUUGUUUGUUUCUAUGGUACUUCCUUUACAUCUUUGAGCUGAAUUUCUUCUUGCUAUCAUUCUUGUACCUUAUGAUCUUUUAUUAAUAAACCACUUAUAGCUCCCACUAUAAGCCUUCUCCAUGAUGGUUGUGAAAUGUCCUAACCUUCAGUUGUAAAAUCUCUCCUCUGAAAUUUUAUCCCCAAAAAUGAUAAAAGAGCAAGUGAAGAAGAACCUGAGCCUACUAUAAGUGUGUCUGUUAGAUACAUGAUUGGCAAGAGAACUGGAGGCUUCAAUCUGUCCACCCAUUUGAAAGGUCUACCAUAAAUUCUAGCCCGGGACCCUUUGGCGGGUGCUCACGAGGUAUCUACCAUUACCAAUGCCAAAUAGAAUACAGCCGGCAGAAGGCGAAACCUCAAGAACAUAUUUUGGUGCAUAAAGUUCCUCAGCUUCUGCGUGAGUGAACAGCCUGACAAUGAAGGGGCGGUGGUUAUCAGCCUGUUAGCGUGAACUUGCUGCCAUCCCCGUCACUACCCACAACAGAGCUUACGAAAUGUCAUAUAUGCAGUGCAGUGCAGUGCAAUACAGGCAGAAGCAAAAACUUCUACAGCAGCAACCCUUCUACCUCUGCAACACAAAAGCAAUAGCACCUUCCAAAUUAAACAAUUUUCAACUCCAGCAGUUCUAAGGCGUAAGUCAGAAUAACAGAAAUCGUAUUUACAAUUAAACAAGCACCAAGAAUUGCAUAUAUGCUCCAUUAUUCCCAGAAAUGGGUUUUCCUGUGUUAAGUAGAAAUUUGGGAGAAAGGUAUUAUUGUAGACAGAUUUCCCUGACAAGUUAGCACAAAAAACUUGUAUCUAAUUCUAAUCCCAUAGUACAAUAAAAUCAAAUUGUUACACUAUUGGGUAUAAUCUCUUUCAUAGAUAGAUCAAAGACAGGAGUAGCAACUAACACUUCAAUAUAAAUUCCGAAGAAAUGACAAUUAUGAAAGUAAAAGUUGCUCUGGAACUAUAUGAACUACUUGGAAAAUGUUAAAUAGUCGGUGCUUACACUAUGAAAUCCAUAGGGACACAAAAGUGAUACUUCUCCAACAGAGCUGGGAAAGAUUUUACACCAAAAGCCAUUUUCUGAUAACAAAUAAAACUUGUGCAAAGGGUCUAUAUCUAAUGAAGAUACUUGAGAUCAUUACAAUGAUUGCCAGUGGUGGAACCACAAACUUUAGUCAACUAUUUUCUCUGCUAUAAAAUAUUAUGUUAAAGUCAUAACUCAUAACAUCUGUUGAGACAUAAAAAAAUUAUUUUUGGCAUAGAAGAGAUAGUUUGUCUCCUAUGACUUAAGAGUUUGCCUCAGCCAUCUAGGACUCGCUGUGCACACAAACAUGGCUCUAUGUUUUGUGCUUGUGGAGACAGUAGUUGGGCACUAAUUAAAUCAUCCAAGCAAGAAACCAUAUGAUAGUUUGUCAGUGUGUGAACAGAUGAAAAGUCACAUAUAUGGUAGUGAUAACAUAACAAUCCCCAGUGGGGGAAUGUGUCCCUACACCCAACAACAUGGAAUGUCCCUGAUGCACCUAACAACGUAGAACGUCCCUGAUGGUUGCAUGUGUUGACAUUAUUACACUAUAAUUACUAAAAUGGCAAGAAAGUAUCAUAUACCUUGUAUGUCCAAAAGGUG